AGCGAACGCUGGCGGCAGGCUUAACACAUGCAAGUCGAGCGGGCAUCCUUGUGGUGUCAGCGGCAGACGGGUGAGUAACGCGUGGGAACGUGCCCUUCGGUUCGGAAUAACUCAGGGAAACUUGAGCUAAUACCGGAUACGUGCGAGAGCAGAAAGGUUUAUCUGCCGAAGGAUCGGCCCGCGUCUGAUUAGCUAGUUGGUGAGGUUAUGGCUCACCAAGGCGACGAUCAGUAGCUGGUCUGAGAGGAUGAUCAGCCACACUGGGACUGAGACACGGCCCAGACUCCUACGGGAGGGAGCAGGGGGGAAUAGUGGACAAUGGGGGCAACCCUGAUCCAGCCAUGCCGCGUGAGUGAUGACGGCCUUAGGGUUGUAAAGCUCUUUUCUUCGGGACGAUAAUGACGGUACCGGAGGAAUAAGCCCCGGCUAACUUCGUG
rnacentral:rRNA from 1 species